UACGUAGGGAGCGAGCGUUGUCCGGAUUUAUUGGGCGUAAAGAGCGCGUAGGCGGCUCGGUAAGCCGGAUGUGAAACCUCCAAGCUCAACUUGGAGCGGCCAUUCGGAACUGCUGUGGCUAGAGUCUGGUAGGGGAACACGGAAUUCCUGGUGUAGCGGUGAAAUGCUUAGAUAUCAGGAGGAACACCAGUGGCGAAGGCGGCUCACUGGACCGGAACUGACGCUGAGGAGCGAAAGCGUGGGGAGCGAACAGG
rnacentral:rRNA from 1 species